rnacentral:rRNA from 1 species
AGUGAACGCUGGCGGUAGGCCUAACACAUGCAAGUCGAACGGCAGCACAGUAAGAGCUUGCUCUUACGGGUGGCGAGUGGCGGACGGGUGAGGAAUACAUCGGAAUCUACUUUUUCGUGGGGGAUAACGUAGGGAAACUUACGCUAAUACCGCAUACGACCUACGGGUGAAAGCAGGGGAUCUUCGGACCUUGCGCGAUUGAAUGAGCCGAUGUCGGAUUAGCUAGUUGGCGGGGUAAAGGCCCACCAAGGCGACGAUCCGUAGCUGGUCUGAGAGGAUGGUCGGCCACACUGGAACUGAGACACGGUCCAGGCUCCUACGGGAGGCAGCAGUGGGGAAUAUUGGACAAUGGGCGCAAGCCUGAUCCAGCCAUACCGCGUGGGUGAAGAAGGCCUUCGGGUUGUAAAGCCCUUUUGUUGGGAAAGAAAAGCAGCAGGUUAAUACCCCGCUGUUCUGACGGUACCCAAAGAAUAAGCACCGGCUAACUUCGUG